GAGCUGUGAUGAUUAUUGGCUUAAACGAUGGUUGGGUCCAUCGCAUUGUUCUGAUAACUCGGAUGUCAUUGCCAUGUUGCUGAGCUC
rfam:Brassica oleracea var. oleracea cultivar TO1000 chromosome C4, whole genome shotgun sequence